rnacentral:rRNA from 1 species
GACGAACGCUGGCGGCGUGCUUAACACAUGCAAGUCGAACGGUAAGGCCCUUCGGGGUACACGAGUGGCGAACGGGUGAGUAACACGUGGGUGAUCAGCCCUGCACUUCGGGAUAAGCCUGGGAAACUGGGUCUAAUACCGGAUAGGACCACUGCCUGCAUGGGUGGUGGUGGAAAGCUUUUGCGGUGUGGGAUGGGCCCGCGGCCUAUCAGCUUGUUGGUGGGGUGAUGGCCUACCAAGGCGACGACGGGUAGCCGGCCUGGGAGGGUGACCGGCCACACUGGGACUGAGGUACGGCCCAGACGCCUACGGGAGGCAGCAGUGGGGAAUAUUGCACAAUGGGCGCAAGCCUGAUGCAGCGACGCCGCGUGAGGGAUGACGGCCUUCGGGUUGUAAACCUCUUUCAGCACCGACGAAGCGCAAGUGACGGUAGGUGCAGAAGAAGGACCGGCCAACUACGUGCCAGCAGCCGCAGUAA